CUGGUUGAUCCUGCCAGUAGUCAUAUGCUUGUCUCAAAGACUAAGCCAUGCAUGUCUAAGUAUAAAUGUUAUACAGUGAAACUGCGAAUGGCUCAUUAAAACAGUUAUAGUUUAUUUGAUAAUCGAAUUUACAUGGAUAACCGUGGUAAUUCUAGAGCUAAUACAUGCUGGUUAGCCUGACUUCGAGGAAGGGCUGUAUUUAUUAGAUAACAAACCAAUAUUCCCCGUGUCUAUUGUGAUGACUCAUAAUAACUGAUCGAAUCGCAUGGGCCUUGCCCGCGAUACAUCAUUCAAGUUUCUGCCCCAUCAGCUUUCGAUGGUAGUGUAUUGGACUACCAUGGCUUUAACGGGUAACGGAGGAUUAGGGUUCGAUUCCGGAGAGGGAGCCUGAGAAACGGCUACCACAUCUAAGGAAGGCAGCAGGCGCGUAAAUUACCCAAUCCUGACUCAGGGAGGUAGUGACAAGAAAUAACGGACCGAGGCUUCACGCUUCGGGAUUGCAAUGAGUAGAAUUUAAACCCCUUUACGAGGAUCCAUUGGAGGGCAAGUCUGGU
rnacentral:rRNA from 1 species